GAUGAACGCUGGCGGCGUGCCUAAUACAUGCAAGUAGAACGCUGAAGGAGGAGCUUGCUCUUCUGGAUGAGUUGCGAACGGGUGAGUAACGCGUAGGUAACCUGCCUGGUAGCGGGGGAUAACUAUUGGAAACGAUAGCUAAUACCGCAUGACAACAGUUAUUGCAUGAUAACUGUUUAAAAGGGGCAACUGCUCCACUACCAGAUGGACCUGCGUUGUAUUAGCUAGUUGGUGAGGUAACGGCUCACCAAGGCGACGAUACAUAGCCGACCUGAGAGGGAGAUAGGCCACACUGGGCCUGAGACACGGCCCAGACUCGUACGGGAGGCAGCAGUAGGGAAUGUUCGGCAAUGGACGGAAGUCUGACCGAGCAACGCCGCGUGAGUGAAGAAGGUAUUCGGAUCGUAAAGCUCUGUUGUAAGAGAAGAACGAGUGUGAGAGUGGAAAGUUCACAAUGUGACGGUAUCUUACCAGAAGGGGGCGGCUAACUACGUG
rnacentral:rRNA from 1 species